rnacentral:rRNA from 1 species
ACGGGAGGCAGCAGUGGGGAAUAUUGCACAAUGGGGGAAACCCUGAUGCAGCGACGCCGCGUGAAGGAUGAAGUAUUUCGGUAUGUAAACUUCUAUCAGCAGGGAAGAAGAUGACGGUACCUGACUAAGAAGCCCCGGCUAACUACGUGCCAGCAGCCGCGGUAAUACGUAGGGGGCAAGCGUUAUCCGGAUUUACUGGGUGUAAAGGGAGCGUAGACGGCGAUGCAAGCCAGAUGUGAAAGCCCGGGGCUCAACCCCGGGACUGCAUUUGGAACUGCGUGGCUGGAGUGUCGGAGAGGCAGGCGGAAUUCCUAGUGUAGCGGUGAAAUGCAUAGAUAUUAGGGGGAACACCAGUGGCGAAGGCGGCCUGCUGGACGAUGACUGACGUUGAGGCUCGAAAGCGUGGGGAGCAAACAGGAUUAGAUACCCUGGUAGUCCACGCCGUAAACGAUGACUACUAGGUGUCGGGUGGCAAGGCCAUUCGGUGCC